rnacentral:lncRNA from 1 species
AAAAGGCAAAUCUCCAAAAUACCAACUUUCUAAGUUUAUAUCACAAAAAUAGCACUCAAAAACUAAAAUGACCAAAAUAGCACAUUUAUAAGUUUAUCCUUUGAAAAUUUUAAUUUUUUUAUUUUUCAAAAUUUGAAAUCUUAUCCCCAAAAUCUCAUUUCUCAACUCUAAACCCUAAACCCUAAACUCUAAACCCUAAACCCUAAACCAUAAACUCUAAACCCUAAACUCUAAACCCUAAACCCUAAACUCUAAACCCUAAACCCUAAACCUUAAACCCUAAACCCUAAAAUCUAAACCCUAAACCCUAAACUCUAAACC